rnacentral:rRNA from 1 species
CCUACGGGGGGCAGCAGUAGGGAAUAUUGGGCAAUGGGCGAAAGCCUGACCCAGCCAUGCCGCGUGAAUGAUGAAGGCCUUAGGGUUGUAAAGUUCUUUCGCAGGUGAAGAUAAUGACGGUAACCUGAUAAGAAGCCCCGGCUAACUUCGUGCCAGCAGCCGCGGUAAUACGAAGGGGGCUAGCGUUGUUCGGAAUUACUGGGCGUAAAGCGCAUGUAGGCGGUCCUACAAGCCAGAGGUGAAAUCCCGGAGCUCAACUUCGGAAUUGCCUUUGG